rnacentral:rRNA from 1 species
UACGUAGGGGGCGAGCGUUGUCCGGAAUCAUUGGGCGUAAAGCGCGUGUAGGCGGCUCGAUCAGUCUGGUGUGAAAACUUGGGGCUCAACCCCAAGCCUGCACUGGAUACUGUCGAGCUUGAGUCCGGGAGGGGAGAGCGGAAUUCCUAGUGUAGCGGUGAAAUGCGCAGAUAUUAGGAAGAACACCGGUGGCGAAGGCGGCUCUCUGGAACGGUACUGACGCUGAGACG